AAUAAGUGUAAUUUUGUACUGUUCAUAUCUAACGUUCAACUGUUCGUCUUAUAUAACAAUUUUCUAUGAUUAGUAUUUUUAUUAUUAUUAGAUGAUAAAACAUGAAUAGUAGUUUAUAUAUGACUAUUUUUUUUAUUUUUUCAUAAUUUUUUUAAAUAAGACGGACGGUUAAACAUUGAACACGGAUAUCCAUAACCUAUA
rfam:Oryza glumipatula chromosome 9, whole genome shotgun sequence.